rnacentral:lncRNA from 1 species
UGAACUCUUGGAUGAACGAAAUUGGAUUAUGAUUGAGAGGAAUUCGUAGGAAUUAGAUGUAAAAAUGUUAGAAUUGGUGAAAUUGAAUAGGGUAUGAUUCGUGUUAAUGAUAUGAACGAUUACUGUGAAAAAUUGGAUUGUAGGAGGUUGGAAAUUGGUAGAUCUCAUAGCAGAGAAGACCAUAGCAGAUCUGGAAAUCUGGUUUCUGGUCAUGACGCGUAUGGCACUAGGCAAUACGCGUAUGAGAUGGUCUGGUACGCGUAUGGCACUAGGCAUUACGCGUAUGGAUGAGGAAUAUGAUGUUUUGAACGGUGGUUGUCUCUGUUGGUACGCGUAUAGGAAGUGGUCGGCGUAGCAUACGGCGUAUGGGACAGGUGAUACGCGUAUGG